rnacentral:tRNA from 1 species
GCCUUCUUAGGUCAGUGGUAGAGCGCGUGGCUUUUAACCACGUGGUCGUGGAUUCGAUCCCACAUACGGUG